UGAGACCUGAUGCCGAGCCGAUUGUGGUGAAGUGGAUGAUCCUAUGCUGUCGAGAAAAGCCUCUAGCGAGUUUCAUGGCGGCCCGUACCCUAAACCGACUCAGGUGGUCAGGUAGAGAAUACCGAGGCGUUCGGGUGAACUAUGGUUAAGGAACUCGGCAAAAUGCCCCCGUAACUUCGGGAGAAGGGGGGCCAUUGCUGGUGAUCACUCUUGCAGUGUGAGCUGGUGGUGGCCGCAGAGACCAGCGAGAAGCGACUGUUUACUAAAAACACAGGUCCGUGCGAAGCCGUAAGGCGAUGUAUACGGACUGACGCCUGCCCGGUGCUGGAACGUUAAGGGGACCGGUUAGCUCCAUUUCGGUGGGGCGAAGCUGAGAACUUAAGCGCCAGUAAACGGCGGUGGUAACUAUAACCAUCCUAAGGUAGCGAAAUUCCUUGUCGGGUAAGUUCCGACCUGCACGAAUGGCGUAACGACUUCUCGACUGUCUCAACCAUAGGCCCGGUGAAAUUGCAUUACGAGUAAAGAUGCUCGUUUCGCGCAGCAGGACGGAAAGACCCCGGGACCUUUACUACAGCUUGAUAUUGGUGUUCGGUUCGGCUUGUGUAGGAUAGGUGGGAGACUGUGAAAUCAUGACGCCAGUCAUGGUGGAGUCAUUGUUGAAAUACCACUCUGGUCGUGCUGGAUGUCUAACCUGGGUCCGUGAUCCGGAUCAGGGACAGUGUCUGGUGGGUAGUUUAACUGGGGCGGUUGCCUCCUAAAGGGUAACGGAGGCGCCCAAAGGUUCCCUCAGCCUGGUUGGCAAUCAGGUGUUGAGUGUAAGUGCACAAGGGAGCUUGACUGUGAGACCGACGGGUCGAGCAGGGACGAAAGUCGGGACUAGUGAUCCGGCGGUGGCUUGUGGAAGCGCCGUCGCUCAACGGAUAAAAGGUACCCCGGGGAUAACAGGCUGAUCUUCCCCAAGAGUCCAUAUCGACGGGAUGGUUUGGCACCUCGAUGUCGGCUCGUCGCAUCCUGGGGCUGGAGUCGGUCCCAAGGGUUGGGCUGUUCGCCCAUUAAAGCGGUACGCGAGCUGGGUUUAGAACGUCGUGAGACAGUUCGGUCCCUAUCCGCUGUGCGCGUAGGAGUCUUGAGAAGGGCUGUCCCUAGUACGAGAGGACCGGGACGGACGAACCUCUGGUGUGCCAGUUGUCCUGCCAAGGGCAUGGCUGGUUGGCUACGUUCGGGAGGGAUAACCGCUGAAAGCAUCUAAGCGGGAAGCCUGCUUCGAGAUGAGGGCUCCCACCCACUUGAUGGGGUAAGGCUCCCAGUAGACGACUGGGUUGAUAGGCCAGAUAUGGAAGCCGGGUGACCGGUGGAGUUGACUGGUACUAAUAGGCCGAGGGCUUGUCCUCAGUUG
rnacentral:rRNA from 2 species